rnacentral:tRNA from 1 species
GGGAAGGUAGCUCAGUGGUAGAGUACUUGCCUUGCAUGCAUGAGGUACUGAGUUCCAUUCCU